GCGUCUUUUGAAUCUUCUAGUGCUUUCAACCCAAAACCGAACCUGGGUCCAUGGCUACUUCACAUUAUUCAACCGCAACAGAAAAAAAUUACAGUGUCGAGAAGUAGACAAGGACCCAAGUUCCAUUUUGGGUCGGAAGAACUAGAAAACUCAAAAGAUCGCCACUCUUCUUGUGAGGAAACCAGCAAAGGGAGAAUGUUGCACUAUGUUACCCAAAGAGAGGAUCAAAACUGCACUAAAAC
rnacentral:lncRNA from 1 species